rnacentral:pre_miRNA from 1 species
UCCCUGAGACCCUAACUUGUGAUUGAGUGAACAGAACCACAUGUUAGUGUCUCAGGAAUU